rnacentral:rRNA from 1 species
UACAGCCAUAUCACUUUGAAACACCGGUUCUGAUACGAUCACCGAAGUUAAGCAUCGCCGAGACUGGUCAGUACCUAGAUGGGUGACCGCUUGGGAAUACCAGGUGUUGUAAG